GACAGAGGCCUCGAGCGUUAGGCGGAAUCACUGGGCUUAAAGCGUGUGUAGGCGGAUGCCUAAGUACCUUGUGAAAUCCCACGGCUCACCCGUGGAACCGCUGGGUAUACUGGGCAUCUUGGGCCAUUCAGGGGCAACUGGAACAAGCGGUGGAGCGGUGAAAUGCGUAGAUAUCAGGAAGAACACCCGUGGCGAAGGCGGCUCUCUGGGACGGUACUGACGCUGAGACGGCGAAAGCGUGGGGAGCGAACAGG
rnacentral:rRNA from 1 species